GGAAGAAAACGCUUCGUUGUUGUCGAACCCUUGGCAGACAUUGUGAAACCACCGAUUGCAAUGUUCACAUAGAAACCAGCCAUCUAUUUCCCUGUCACAGGUGCUUGUGGAUGGAGCCUCCCGGCUGGUACAAAAGGCCUGGACAAUGCUGGCAGAAUAUCCUGUUCACAGUCAAAUGGUGGUGGAAUGGGGAUAUCGUCGUUUGAAUUGGUGUCCUCACUGUCCUGAAGUGAAUAAAAAUGAGUGGUUUGAUGAAAAUGGGCAAGAACAAUUAUGAUAAGUUAUAGGGGAUGAGGCCCUGUUCAACUAGUGGGUUCUGCUGGACAAAAUGGCCACAUGCAUGGCACAAUGCAGGGGGUGCACAACUGGUUUGGUCAUCUUUAUGUAAUGGAAAGAGAAAUGAAACAUCACCAAAUCAAUUACCAUGGACUACAUCAUGGUGUGAAACCUGAAGUUUGUCAGGAGGGGCCAGCUGCAUCGGAUUUAAGGCCUUGGGAUCGAAAGGAUAAAUU